UGAUAACAUUUUUAUUUCAUAAGAUUUUCUGCAAAUUCUCAAUUCCAGCAAUAUUAUAACAACAAGCCUUACAAAGUAUUAUUUACUAGCGAUUGCAUUUGUCUAGAAUUUAUCAUCUUUUAGUACAAUAUAUUCAUCAAACAAUUACUGUACAUACGAUCGAAAUCAAUCUACAAAAUUGUAUUUCUCAUACACUAUAAUGCAAUCCAUUAUUAUACUUUCCGCAUUUCAAUCAAACUCUAUACAAAUUAUCAAUAUUUGAGAUCAUGAGUAAUACAUCACAGGUGAUAAUCGAAUUAAAAAAAAUUAUCAACUAAACAAUCUUCAUCUAUACAAAAAAGAAAACAAAAUUAUUAAUUGUUUUUGAUGUAUUUGAGAAUUUAUCAAAGUGUAAUCUUAGAAUAGAGGCUUGAAAACAUAAGAAAAGAGAUCGAGCAUAACCAGCCAUACUAUUUCAAAUCAAAUUGUCUGGAGACAGGAACAACGUAGAAUCAGGGAAAAACUCGUAAUUUUUGAAUAAUUUUCUACAACAAUUAUAGUACAGUUUCAAACAGAAAUGCUUUAUAGUAAUGUACAUGAUUUUCCUCUAAUCAAAAAACUAAUAAGAAUUACUAAAACAAAAUUGAUGAUUUCCAGAGAAACAAAUAUAAAUCUAGAAACCAAUAUUUGAUUGUACAAGAAAAUAUUGAUUACUUAUUUUUUGAAAAUGGGAGAACCAAACAAUAAUAGCAUAAGAAACCAAUGAUUAAUGAAAAGAAUAUAAUUGAAAAACUAGUAAAAUAUAUUAAUUGUAGAUCCAAAUUGAUUUUGAAACACCCACAAGUACUUUAUAUUUAUUACAUUACAUAUGAUGUUCCUAUUUAAUCUGAGUUCUAAAAAGACAAUAAUGAAUGACAAAAAAUAAUCUGAAUUCUAGAAAUUCAGAAAACAUAUUCAGCUUUCAAAAAACAAAGUCGAAUCUUAAUUUUUCAGCAAAAACUAAACCAACUUUCAAUAAUGAGAUAAAAUGGACUAAUUAUUAUCACCCCAAAGUAAGACACUUUUUAAACCAGUGUUAAAGCUACAAAACUUUAGAAAAAGUUGUCAGAAAUUCACCAAUUUCAGUGAAUUGGUGAUUGUUUACUUUUGGGUGAAAUGAAUAGUUAAAAUUAGAUUAUUUACAAACUGAUGAUGCAUAACAGAUAUGAAUAGUAUUUUGGUUUACACAGCGUUGAUUGGGUGGUUCGGAACACACCUAAAACCCACAAUAUAGCUGGGAUCUCCCCUUCAAUAAAAGCCAUACGAAUAUGUCUGUAUUGUACAAUAUUUUAUUUAAUGUAUUUUAUACUCCCGUAUAGUCAAUAAUCAAAAUUCUAUAUUACAUAUUCUUCAAGUAUGACAAAAUAUGAUCUAAAUUCUAGAAAUUCAGAAAACAUUCAGCUUUCAAAAAACAUACCACCUUUAAACUAGGUCAAAUCUUAAUUUUUGUUAUUUCUCUAUGUUAUAAUCUGUAUCUUUGUUAUUUCAAUGAAGCCUAUGUUCUAAGUCGAUGUACUGCGUCUAUUUUUGGGGUGAAAUUAAGAUGGAAUUUUACAAUAAAUUAGAUUUCAAUGGGGUUGCAUAGUGUUAAAUUAUUUACUUACAGUUUUGAAUGAAAAUCUCAAAUUAAUUUUGAAAAAGUGAAGUUCCUACAGUUAUCUUAAUUGACGGGGAGAUCCUUAUUGUUUAAUUUAUUUUAGGUGCGUUCCGAACUGAUGAGGGAUAUUUGAAUAAACUGGAAAUACUAUUCAUAUCUGUUGGUUAUGAAGCAUUACUAAACUGAAAUUUAGCAAACAAAACAUAGUUUGACAGUAGAUAGUUUAGUAAAACAUACUAAAUUAGAAGUACACUAAAAUUAUAUGAGUAAUGAAGUUAACUAACGAUGGAAGUAAUGGAAACAAAUCGGCCAGAUAUGGAAAACAAAAUUAUCUCGGCCAAACAAUCAGAACAUAAUCUAUUUAUGCAGAAUGUGACUUGAUUAUGACUUAUGAGAGCUCUGCAGUUAAUCCUGAAUUAAUUCGUCUACAAUUAAUUCAAAAAUUAAAUCGCCUUUGGUUGUAAUGAGAUUAAGUGUUGUUAAUAAAUUAGUAUCAUUAUUCUUUGGGUUAUUCCCAGGCCUAAGAGAUCAGAAAGUAUCAUAAAACAAUAAAAAAGGCAGUUACUGGAGAUCUUGGAAAUUAUUAUAAUAAACGCCAUCUUUAAGAAAUCAUCCAGUAGGCCAUACUAAGGAAAUGUUACUUCAUCCAAAAACAGUUACAAAAUUACACAAGAAUGUAAUUGUCAAGCAUUAUUCAUGUAUCAGAAACAUUUUUUUGUGUUUAACUAAGUAUUGUUCUUCAUCAAAUUCGAAUAAUAUUAAAUAUAAAUUGAUUUACUGGUGUUAAUUCUGCCAAAGAUAUAGAAAAAUGUUACGGAAGCAUAUCUCAAAAUUUUUGAAUUGAGCUGAUAUUAUGUUGGGUAAGUUAUUUCUUCUUAGAGAUAUUAUACUCAAGUUAUUUUCUCCUUAGAGAUAUUAUACUCAAGUUAUUUUCUCCUUAGAGAUAUAAUACUUAAGUUAUUUUCUCCUUAGAGAUAUUAUACUUAAGUUAUUUUCUCCUUAGAGAUAUUAUACUCAAGUUAUUUUCUCCUUAGAGAUAUUAUACUCAAGUUAUUUUCUCCUCAGAGAUAUUAUACUUAAGUUAUUUUCUCCUUAGAGAUAUUAUACUCAAGUUAUUUUCUCCUUAGAGAUAUUAUACUCAAGUUAUUUUCUCCUUAGAGAUAUUAUACUUAAGUUAUUUUCUCCUUAGAGAUAUUAUACUAUGUUUCAGCAACAUAACAAUAAUUGUGGUUAUAAGAUUGAUGCUUCAAAACAAGCGAAAAGUAUAUAGUAUUCUAAACAACACAAUACACUUCUAAGCAGAGAAAAUCUUGAAAAACAAGCAAAUUGCUUCUUGAUGUAAAAUUUUGAUUCAAUUCUAACAGAAAACAUUCACAUUCCAUCUGUUCAAAAAUACCAAAACAAAAUAAUCGAAACCAACAUGGAGAUCAAAGUGAAAAAUGUCGAUAAAUAUAUUAAUAUAUAAAUUUUCAUCUUUGUAGUAUAGGAGUAGUAGAACUAUACAAUAUAUAAACUCAAUUUAUCUUAAAAACUACAAACACCUAUGAAAUUUUUCUCUCUUAUUUACAAUAUUGAUUUUCGACUAAAUACAAAUGUAUCUACAAAUAAAUUAUUCAGCUAUUCUCGUCUGAACAAGAAAACACUUUUGUACACUAGUAAUUUAAAUUUAAAUUUAGGCUUUGAAACGUGAGAUCGUAGAGACAAUAUUAGUAUGAAUGCUAGACUAAAAUUAAUGUUAUUAGAAUUUAGAGGAAGGAGUAAUUAGAAUGGAGUUUAGAAAUUCUAGAAUUUUCCAUCAUACAGUAUAUAUUAAUACACCUGAAUCAGGGAUAAGUUGAUAGUAGAGUCCCAAUCUCUAAAAAUCCAAAAAAGGUACAAUCUCUUCAAAAAGCAGGUUCCAAAGAAGCAUCUUAACGAAGAUAUUCUCCCUUGA